rnacentral:piRNA from 1 species
UAGACUCGAGUUGAGGCUAACUGUGCC